GCCCCUCUCACUCUCUCUCUCAUCUCUGAUAAGAGGACUCUCUCUCUCUCUCCCCCUCUUUCUCUCUCUCUCAGAUAAGAAGCAUUUUCCCUCUGAACUAGGAAAGAGCAAUGACGGAAGAGGCUUGCCCAAAGGUUACAGAAGAAUCCACGCCUUCUGCAACAACCAAACAGAGGAAAAAGAGAAAAUGGGAUGAACCUGCUGUGCCUUUUAUGUCAGCUGGGACUCCAAUACCUGGAGUCCUCCCAUACAGUAGUGUUGGAGCUAUUCCUGGAGUUAUCGUUCCUAGUAUGGAUCUGUUUUCUGGUGCUCUUCUGACAGCUGGGAACUUAGUGACUUCUCCAAAUGUUUCAGAUAUUCAUCCGAUGCCUGUGGUCCAACAGAAUGCAGUUUCUGUUUUGCAAAAACUUGAUCAAGAUUUAGCAACCAAAGGAGUAGUUCCCCUGCCAAAGAUACAAGAUGAACUCAUUGCCCGAGAGAUUGUCAUUAAUGAUGCUGAACCUGCUGUACGGUACAAGCUUACAAAGAGACAGACUCAGGAAGAGAUUCAGAAGUGCACCGGUGCUGUGGUCAUUACAAGGGGUAAAUACCGCCCUCCUGGCUGUUUGCUUGACAAUGAUAAACCACUAUACCUUCACAUUUCUGCUGGGGCUCAUCUUAAAGACACAGCAAAAAGGAUUAAAACUGUUGACCGUGCUGCGGCCAUGGUGGAGGAAAUAAUGAAACAAGGGCAGAUUCCCCAGCUAUUUUCUAAUAAUUUCCUCCCAUUAACUGGCACUGGAGUACAGGUUAAUAAGCCUUUCAGUGCAUGUGUCUUUUUGGGUUUUGAGCCCAAUCCAUCCUUGAAUGUUGCUGCUCGGAUUCGUGGGCCAAGUGACCAGUAUAUAAACCACAUUAUGAAUGAAACAGGAGCUACUGUUAUGUUGAGAGGACAAGGCUCAGAUGGUGUUGAGGGUCCAUAUUCUGAAGAACCACAACAACCUUUGCACUUAUAUUUGGCUGGUAAUACCUUGAAGAGUCUUGAAGAUGCAAAGCGGCUGGCAGAGAAUCUUCUGGAUACAAUCAGUGUGGAGUGUGGUGCAUCAAGGGUGUCUUCCAGCAAAGUCUACAAUGCGGUUCCCCCUCCUCAACAGUUGUUAACUAAAAUAGAAAGCGCACUGAAAGAAGCCAAUGGAAGUGCAAAUGGGCCUGUGGGUACGACAUCCUUGUCCACCAACUUAACAACAGAACCUUCAAUUUCCACAGCAAAUGUACCAGCACUACCUUUUUCUACUUCCAUGGGGAUCUCCACCACCUGUUCUCAAGGACCAAGCUUGCAUCAACCUGGUAGUGCCUUCAAUUAUGGACAACGUCCAAUUCAGUCACUCAGUUAUCCUGGGCCUUCACUAGCUGGAGGAACAAGAUAUAGUGGAUACGAGGGGAUAUAUCCUCAGGCUACUCCUUUGCAGCAAGUUGCUUUGGCAUUGAGACAACCGCCUGCUCCAGCCUCUCAGCUUUCUUCCACCUCAUCAACAGUCAGUGCAUUGCCUAAGAUGAAUUCGAGCUCUGAUUGUUCAGCAGUUAACAAACAAAGGCGGAAGUUUCAAGAGUUGCCAGUUAAUCCCAAGGGACUGACAAUUGCUCAUCAGGUAUUUUCUCUGACCUUCUAUCAGGCUGACAGGCUAGUAGAGGACCUGUUGGUUGCACCAUUCGUUUGUAUGUUUCACAGGGUUUUUGAAGUUGGAUUUUGAUGCAUUGAGAGCCAUCUCUCUUUUGUCGGCUGAUGGAAGGCUAUUUGAUCUUGGAAUCCAGGGCCAUUGCUUUCAGCCUGCUGCUUUAUGAAAUUUUAUUUCAUAUUCAUCAUGUGUUUAGCUGUGAACUGUUUAUGCUACCAUUUGUUCUGGUCGUAAAUCUGAUCCUAAAACCUUAUGUAAAAACUCUAAAACCCUGUAAACCAUAACAACCUUAAUCCUAAAUCCUAAAACUUAAACUCUUCUUCCCAUGUUCAUGGGCCAUUCUGCAUGCCAUUUUGAGGCAUGGUUAUGUAAUGAUUCUUAUUAUCCUAUCCUUUUCGCCUCUUCUUGACUGUGCUGCAUGUUUUCUUCUUUUGAAUCCUUUUCUCAAGAUCCUUCCCUUCGUCAAAAGAAAUUUCGUCAUCCCAAAACUUUUCAUACUUGGAUAGAACCAUAGCAAUCUAUGGAUCUUUUGUCUCGUUCACAGUUUUAUUAACUGACAUAAGAUAUUCCCACACACCCUACCACACCCACCCCCCACCCCAUCCCCACUCUCACCCCCACCCCCAGACCAAAUCUGUGUGUGUGUGUGUGUGUAUUUUGCUUAUCCAACUAAAGGAGUUGAAGGGAUAUGAAAGUUUUUGCUUUUCUUUUCCAGAACUCACGACAAGGGUCGGAAUUUCUUAAGCCAGGUGUUUCUUUGGAAGAGUCAAUCACUAGAAGUGGUCAGAUGAUACCGCCACCAAAGAAAUUGGUGCAGUUAGAGACCAAUGGAAUGCCACCCCCUCCUCCUAAGUCAAUGCCGCCUCCUCCUCCCAAAUUCAUGCCUCCCCCUCCGGAAAAAGAAGUUGUGACCUCUGUGUCCAGGCCUGCGGGAGGCAACUCAGUUAUUGCAGAACCUUCACUCAAGCUCGUUGAGUAUGGCGAAGAGGAUGAAGAUGAUGAAGUUGCAGAAAAACCACCAAUACCCAGUUCCACGAAGCCUCCAUCCUCAAAACCAUUCUGGGCCCUAUAACC